rnacentral:tRNA from 1 species
GCCCCCGUAGCCCAAUGGCAGAGGCAGCCGGCUUAAACCCGGUCCAGUGCGGGUCCGACUCCCGCCGGGGGUA